GCCUUCGUGGUGUAAUGGUCAGCACACUGAGCCGGUAUUUCAGAGGUCCGUGGUUCAAUCCCCGGAGAAAGCA
rfam:Stegodyphus mimosarum contig106260, whole genome shotgun sequence.